GUGCUUGAUUUGGCAGCACAUAUAUUAAAAUUGGAACAAUACAGAGAAGAUUAGCCCGGCCCCUAUGCAAGGAUGACACAAAAAUUCAUGAAGUGUUCCAUAUUUAA
ensembl:snRNA U6 U6 spliceosomal RNA